AUUGAACGCUGGCGGCAGGCCUAACACAUGCAAGUCGAGCGGAGCGGCGGAGGGGUGAGUAAUGCCUAGGAAUCUGACUGGUCGUGGGGGAUAGCGUCAGGAAACGGGCGCUAAUACUGCAUACUCUCGCAUGAGCCUAGGUCGGAUUAGCUAGUUGUUGGGGUAAAGGCAUACCAAGGCGAAGAUCAGUAACUGGUCUGAGAGGAUGAUCAGUCACACUGGAACUGAGACACGGUCCAGACUCCUACGGGAGGCAGCAGUGGGGAAUAUUGGACAAUGGGCGAAAGCCUGAUCCAGCCAUGCCGCGUGUGUGAAGAAGGUCUUCGGGUUGUAAAGCACUUUCAGCUGGGAGGCGUUACCCGCAGAAUAAGCACCGGCUAACUCCGUGCCAGCAGCCGCGGUAAUUC
rnacentral:rRNA from 1 species